rnacentral:rRNA from 1 species
AAUAUUGGACAAUGGGGGCAACCCUGAUCCAGCCCUGCGGCGUGUGUGAAGAAGUUCUUCGGAUUGUAAAGCACUUUAAGCUGGGAGGAAGGGCUUUCGGUUAAUAACCUGAAGUUUACACGUUAACAACAGAAAAAGCACCGGCUAACUCUGUGCCAGCAGCCGCGUUAAAACAGAGGGUGAAAGCGUGAAUCGGAAUUACUGGCGUAAAGCGCGCGUAGGUGGUUCAGUAAGAUGGGUGUGAAAUCCCGGGGCUUAACCUGGGAACUGCUUUCAUAACUGCUGAGCUAGAGUACGGUAGGGGGUAGUGGAAUUUCCUGUGUAGCGGUGAAAUGCGUAGAUAUAGGAAGGAACACCAGUGGCGAAGGCGACUACCUGGACUGAUACUGACACUGGGGUGCGAAAGCGUGGGGAGCAAAC